rnacentral:lncRNA from 1 species
UUCCACUCAUAGACACCUUUCUCAGCCCCCUUGUCAGGAGGAGCACUCACCUGGGAAAGGCUGAGAUGCUAUUUGGAAGCACCUGUGCUCCAUCAAAUGAGAUCCUUCUGAGACACAAAAGGGAGGGUGUCCCCCUGAGUAAGACCGUAGCAAGAUCCUUUUAGCUGCCAAUUGUUUAGCAGAAACUGGUGUAGUCAGGAGCUUUACACUUGUUUGGAGAAUUUAGGGAAGGAGCUCCUUCCUGUCCAAGCACUUGGCAAGUGUUUGAAGAGACAUAACACCCUUGAGGUCCUGUUUAAUCUUCAAAGAGAAACAGGAAACUCUUUGAGUUAAAAGAUGGAACAAAUAAGUUUUCUGAAUUUUAAAGAAAAUAAAGACCAAGAUUUCCACAUCUAGCAUUCUGCAAGACACACAGGGGACAAAGAAAAGAAGCCAUUCUUUGGUGCCCACAGGCCACCUUCCUUAUCAAACGCACUGGGCACUUGGCAGAAGGAAAAACAACAAAAAGACCAUCUCUCCUGUGGCUCCGUAGUGCUGCUUUCCACCCGAACGUGACCUGCCAGCAAGCACUGCUGCGAGGCGCAGCCUUGCGAUUUUGGAAGUAUGGACUCAAUGACAGUCUUCCCAGCCGAUUGGAUUCUGGUGGCUCCAAACUCACCUUCAAAUCGCACCUGCCCCUGUACAGGUGGGCAUUCUGGACAGGAGGUCAUGACUAAAGCCAAGGAACCAAAUGCUCCAGGGAAAUCCGGGCAGUAGCAGGAACAGCUAAAUGGGCAUUCAUUGACCAACGGAGGAAGCCCACACAGCACAAUAGGAUGCCUGAGAGAUGCACGCAGCUAUACCUCUGAGGAUGGAUGGAUUGGCACCCCCAGGAAGUGGCGGAGAUAGACAUUGGCCCGUGCACUUCUGUUUUAAGCAAAAGUAAGAUUUAUUGGAAAGAUGCUGGAGUUGAUCAUGGAAUCGCAGAGGACUGAGAGAUCAAUCCUCGGACAGUGCAGUAGCAGCAGCUGUUCUCUCAUAGACUCUUUUUCCUCAUACAGAAAGGCUGGCUGCCAGCAGCUUCCACAACCACACCCUCUAGCUCAGUUCCUAGGAGAGAGCACUCCCCUUCUUGCCAUCUCCAGCCAGGAAAAACUCAUGGAUGGACUCUGCCUGGUUUAGCUUAACUCACAAGUCCAUCUGCAGACCCGUUACCCGGUCUUGAGACAGAGGCACUAUGAUCCCACGUUGUGAAUUGUAAAAUGUAACCAUUAGGAAGUAGACUUCAAAUGCUCGUAUCAUAUUAUAAUACUAUGCAUAUUUGUGUUUAUAGAAGGAAACACAUUUGAAAUAUAGAGAAGCAGAACAGUGUGUUUUCUCAUCAGUUCUUCUUUGGGCAAAAUAAGCAUAAUCUGACUAAAUCUGCAUUUCUAACCUGCGCUGUCACCUUGCUCUUACACCUUAACAAGCAAACUAUAUGAGAAGAAUGAUCAGCAAUAGAAGCAAGAUGAUUUUCUUUUGGUCCAAAACUUUGUACCUGGUGAUAUUCUAUGCCAUGAAAAGAAUCAUGCUUAAUAAUUCAUUUGUCAGCUGUGUUAGGCACUGUGGAAGAUUCCAAACAGCAUGAAAUCUAACCUCUGCCUUCAGAGAGCUUAACAGUUUUCUGUGGCAGGGAAAUUAGAGUACAUCUGUGAAAACAUAUUAGUAUAGGACAGAACAGAAAAUUUCUUAGACUCUAACAAAUGUUUUAAUUCCAGGUGUACUCAGGAAGAUAGUAGCAUUUUUGGAUGUCUACUAUGAAGAGAAAAGUAUGUACUGAGAUGGGUUUUAUAGGCAGUAAACAUUACAGUCCUUGUCUUCAAGACAUUUGAAACAUACAACAUGCUCACAUUAGCUAAAUAUGCUUACUUCAAAUGCCUAUACUUAUGUCACAUGACUGUGAAGUUAUCAACCUGGUUUCAAAAGCCAUACACAAAAAUCAAAUCAGGUAAUGUGUGUAAAAGUUCAUUGUUAACUGUAGUACCAUACAAACUGAGGUGAUAUUACCGUGAUCAUAUCUUCCAUUUUAUUGUUCAUGAUGGAAGCUGGCCUACUUGUGGAGAAGAAUGGGCCCAUUAUUCCUGUUUGGGAAAAUAAAUGGAAUAAUAAAGAAGACUCAAAACCAAAUGAAAUGCCAUUCCAUACACAUUUUGAAAAAGUUUAUAGAGUAAUUUAAGCAUGAAGAGCUAUUCUAAGCAUAAUAAUAAACUGUAAAGAAUAUUGUUUCCUUUCCAAGAUUCACUUUUCCAAGAUGGCUCAAAUGUGAAAGUCUCUUUUGGAGUUUAUGUAUAGUUCUUUAAAUUGGCACAUUUGGCCUAAAGCAAGAGGAAAAACUGAGUACAAUGUACCAUUUUGUCAAGCAGGGCAGAGCCUUGAAUGGAGGAUUAAGUGGGUAGGGCUCCAUGGAAGAAAUAGGACAUAUUCUUUGCUAUUCAGAGAUAUCCUAUGGGUUGAUGAAAUUAUAUUUACUUUAACAAGCCUUGCUUAAUACUGCACGUUCACAAUUACCUUCCACUUGUACAGCAUGUUGCUCAGGAAGAAAUCUAUUCCUAUCCUUAAUGUUCCAGUCUCUCUUUCCUUGUUUUAACUAUAUUCUAAAUAAUUUAUAAAUAUUUUGUUGCUGGUGAAUUGUUUUCUUUUUCGGCCCUUCAGUAUAGGCAUAGCUUAAUACUGGCUAUAUUUCCAUUUGCCUUUUUUCUUUGUUUCUCAUUGGUCCAUAUCAGACCUAAGCUUCAAUUUUCUUUUCCUUCAGCCACAGAUAUCCUAGUGUAUAAUAUUUCCUUCUGGAUUCUAUCAAAUGUAACCCUACUUAAUCACACCUUCAUCUUGGUCAUUACCCCAGGCCACCAUACUCUAUAUCAGUUUUAUGAGUAUUUUCUGGUCUGAAGGGCAUUUGUUUUACUCAGGCACAGGAGAUUCUGUCUUCUAUGAAUGUUAUGAGUUUUAACAUGAUGUAGAAACCGUGAUGCUAACUGACAUUACACAGAACUUUACAGGUUACUCAGCCUCUCACAGACAGGCGUUUAUUUGGUCCUUUCAAACUCUUGGGGUGGGAUUUAUCAUCUCCAAUUUCCUCAUGAGGAAAUGGAAGUUCAGUGAGAGAUUGUGCACAGGCCUAUGGUAGCUGGUAAACGGUAGAAUUGGGGCUGAGAUUGGGUUUCCUCACUCCAUGCCCAUUGCGCUUUCCAUCGUAUUACAAGCCAUUCUGCUUAGGAGGGAUUUAGGGCUUAUAUAGCAAAUAAUAUUUUUCAGGGAAUCUGUUUACAACAACAAAAAAUUUUUCUCUCCAAAAUGUUCAUGCCUGGCCUGGAUAAACAUGAGCUCCCACUGCCCACCAUUGCCUCUAGGAUUUACUUUAUAGCUUUGUUUCAAAUACAAACUGAGUUUUCAUUAUUCUUCCUUACAGUUAAUCUCUUUACACACUGCCCUAGGAAUCACUUUUAAAAUUGACAGGAGUUUAGCUGGAGUCUCUCUUCUGUGAUGGGAAUUCCAUUCCCAAAGAACUAGAGCAAUAUUUCUUAAUUGAAUAUUUACUGUAAUGAUCAAGAAGGAGUCAGUUGGUCCUGUUUGCUUUAUUUUCAUUGUAAGCUAAAGAUUUGGAUGGUAUUUCCAUGAUUUAUUGAGAACUGCACCAAGAUUCUCAGUAUUCAAUAAACAUAGUUAAGAAGUAGAGGAAAGACAUAUAUUUUUCAUCAUACACACAACUCUAAAUGUUUAGGCCAAAGGCACAUAUUUUUAGGACCUUACAAAAGUAGAUACAUUUUUAAUGGGUUCAAGUAACAAAUAUAAAUUCUAUCUCUCUAUUACCUGAAUAUCUUAACUGUUUGGAGGUUUUAUUAUCGGAAACUGCCAAAUAAC